rnacentral:rRNA from 1 species
UAAAUAGCCAGGCCCGCUUUGGCGGGUCGCCGGCUUCUUAGAGGGACUAUCGGCUCAAGCCGUUGCAAGUAUUCGCCAAAUCCAGUACUGUGAAGCCCUUAGAUGUUCUGGUCCGCACGCGCGCUACACUGACGGAGCCAGCGAGUUCUCCCUUGACCGGAAGGUCCG